AUCCAGGUGACAAGUCUCAAAUAGGACGAAACGCGUGUCCUGGAU
rnacentral:hammerhead_ribozyme from 1 species